rnacentral:tRNA from 1 species
UCCAGCGUCGCCUAACGGUAAGGCAACCGGCUGUUAACCGGUCUGAUGGAGGUUCGAUCCCUCCCGCUGGAG